CCCAGGAGAGUCCCCGUGCUCUGACUCAGGCCAGUCCUGCAAUCCUCGCUCACGGAAACUCGCACCAGGUCCACGCAAUCCCACGCGGGAGCUAACUGGCUGGGGACCUGGG